rfam:Biomphalaria glabrata isolate BB02 unplaced genomic scaffold LGTN_random_Scaffold6825, whole genome shotgun sequence.
GGCCGGUUAGCUCAGUUGGUUAGAGCGUCGUGCUAAUAACGCGAAUGUCGUGGGUUCGAUCCCCAUACUGGCCA